CCUACGGGCGGCAGCAGUGAGGAAUAUUGGUCAAUGGGCGAGAGCCUGAACCAGCCAAGUCGCGUGAGGGAGUACUGCCCUAUGGGUUGUAAACCUCUUUUGUCGGGGAGCAAAAGCCGGACGUGUCCGGCUGUGAGAGUACCCGAAGAAAAAGCAUCGGCUAACUCCGUGCCAGCAGCCGCGGUAAUACGGAGGAUGCGAGCGUUAUCCGGAUGUAUUGGGUUAAAAGGGUGCGCAGGCGGAUUUUUAAGUCAGCGGUAAAAUCGUGGGGCUCAACCCCAUCCAGCCGUUGAAACUGGGGAUCUAGAGUGUGCGAGAGGUAUGCGGAAUGCGUGGUGUAGCGGUGAAAUGCAUAGAUAUCACGCAGAACCCCGAUUGCGAAGGCAGCAUACCGGUGCACAACUGACGCUCAGGCACGAAAGCGUUGGUAUCGAACAGGAUUAGAUACCCCAGUAGUC
rnacentral:rRNA from 1 species